rnacentral:lncRNA from 1 species
UUUUUUUUUUUAAUUUUUGCCUACUUUCUCAUUUGUAGUGCAGGCUCUAUAAACCUGCCUUUUCCCCACUCUCUAACAUCCAUCUAUGCCCCGUAAUGCUUUGGUGUUCUCUCACUUUAAGUAUGAUUGUGUCACUACCCCCAGUGCUCCUGAUGCAAUUCCCCUCAGCCAAUUUUUCCUCUGUGUCCCUUCUUUUGGAAUUUGCAGAUAGCCCUAGUGGCUCCACAGACAUUCUGACAUCAUGCAUCAGACUCUGUAAAUAUGGACUUUUCUGGGGAGAAGGCCAGUGGAUUUCAACAGAUUCUAAGAAGGCUACCUUAUCCCCAAAAUGUUAAGACAAAUUGCUUUAGGAAGUCUUUAAAGUUCUUAUGGGUUUUGCUUCCUAAAGAGAGAGCAGGGCCAGGUGUAGUGGCUCAUACCUGUAGUCCCAACACUUUGGGAGGCCAAAGUGGGCUGAAGUCAGAGGAUCACUUGAUCCUUUGCCCAGGAGUUCAAGAUAAGCCUAGGCAACACGGCAAAACCCCAUCUCUACAAAAAUGCAAAAAUUAGCCAGGCAUGGUGGUGUGUGCCUAUGGACCCAGCUGCUCAGGAGGCUGAGGUGGAAGGAUUGCUUGAGGCCAGGAGUUAACAGACCAGCCAGGGCAACAUGUGAGAGCCAGUCUCAUCACACAAAAAAAUUAAAACUUAGCCAGGAAUGAUGGUGAGCACCUGUAGUCCCUAAUGCUCAGGAGGUCGAGGUGGGAGGAUCACUUGAGCCCAGGAAGUCAAGGGUGCAGUGAACCAUCAUCACACCAUUGCACUCCAGCCUGGGUGACAGAGUGAGACUCUGCCUCAACAACAAUAACAACAAAAGCAGAUUUUAAUAAUUUCCCCCUUUUUCACUUUUAACAAAUGGAAAUAACUCAAUGCAAAAAUUAACUGCUUCAUAUUCCAAUUGAUCGCCUUAGAGCUAUACUGUUCCGUCGGUGUCUGGUUCACAACUACGCCAACUGUCAUGCCCAGGGUCAGGUUCCAACUCAUGCUGAGGUUCAAAGGGAGUGGGUGGAUGAGCAGAUAGCUGAAAGAACACUCAGGAGGCAGUAGGCAGGUGAAAUGUCGUUUUAUUUAGCAGCUCUCUUAGCAGCUUACUUACACUAUUCUCUUAUACUGUCCACCUUGUCUCGGCUGCUUAGUCCGGUGGCUCCCACACACAGCUGUGCGGCCGGCUCUUCAAUCCCAGCUACUUGGGAGGCUGAGGCAAGACAAUCGCUUGAACUCGGAAGGCGGAGAUUGCAGUGCGCCAAGAUUGCACCACUGCACUCCAGCCUGGGCGAGAGAGUGAGACUCCAUCUCAAAAAAAAAAAAAAAAAAAAAUCCUUAAUAUGCUAAUAUUCACAAAGGAGAGAAUACACUUGUGCAUUCAUCUCCCAGGUCUGCUGUAACAAAGUACCACAAACUGGGUGGUUUAAAACAAUAAAAAUGUAUUGUCUCUCAGUACUGGAGUUCCGAAGUCAGAAACUAAGGUGUCAGCAGGUCUAUGCUCCCCCUG